rnacentral:rRNA from 1 species
AUGGCGAGGCUGCGGAAGAGGAAGAGGGGGAGGGGGAGGGGCGUGAGAUGGCUGAGCCACUACUCAUCGGGGCAAAGCAUUCUGAUCGUCGGGGACGGGGAUUUCUCGUUCUCGCUGGCUCUCGCCGCCGCGUUCGGGACCGGCCGGAACAUCGUCGCGACGUCGCUGGACUCCUAUGAGGCUCUGUCUCGCAAGUAUAGCAAAGCACAAUCAAAUGUAAUGGAGCUGAAGAAAAGGCGCACCACGGUUUUGCAUGGUGUUGAUGCGGAGACGAUGAAGGGUCAUACUAAUCUGAAGAUGAGACUAUUUGAUCGGAUUGUCUUUAAUUUUCCUCAUGCUGGAUUCCAUGGAAAAGAGUGUGAGAUGCAUGUUGUCAGGUUGCAUAGGGAGCUUGUGAAGGGGUUUUUUGGCAAUGCACGAGAGCUGCUUCAGCCGGAUGGUGAAAUCCACAUUAGCCACAAGACAGGAUAUCCUUACGACGGGUGGAGUAUCGAGCAACUUGCCUCUGAAUCUUCUCUGGCUAUGAUUGACAUAGUUAGUUUCCAGAAACAAGACUACCCCGGCUAUAGGCCAAAGAGAGGAAAUGGUUCAAAGUCCAACAAUACUUUCCCUCUUGGUGACUGCAACACAUACAAGUUCGUCGCGAAACAUAAUGUUGCUCAGGAAGAACAUGCAUGCUACUGCGAUAUGUGCCAAGAUAAAUAUGUCUCGCGGUACUUCGACUAUGCAAGCAGUCUUGGCACGUUCGGAGUUGGGAACGGGGGGCACCUUGCAUAUUGA